ensembl:misc_RNA Metazoa_SRP Metazoan signal recognition particle RNA
GCCGGGUGUGGUGGCACUCACCUGUAGUCCCAGCUACUUGGGAGGCUGAGGCAGAAGAAUCGCUUGAACCCGGGAGGCAGAGUUGCAGUGAGCCAAGAUUGUGCCACUGCACUGCACUCUAGCCUGGGUGACAGAGCGAGACUCUGUCUCCC